rnacentral:rRNA from 1 species
GACGAACGCUGGCGGCGUGCCUAAUACAUGCAAGUAGAACGCUGAAGGAGGAGCUUGCUUCUCUGGAUGAGUUGCGAACGAGUGAGUAACGCGUAGGUAACCUGCCUGGUAGCGGGGGAUAACUAUUGGAAACGAUAGCUAAUACCGCAUAAUAGUAGAUGUUGCAUGACAUUUGCUUAAAAGGUGCAAUUGCAUCACUACCAGAUGGACCUGCGUUGUAUUAGCUAGUUGGUGGGGUAACGGCUCACCAAGGCGACGAUACAUAGCCGACCUGAGAGGGUGAUCGGCCACACUGGGACUGAGACACGGCCCAGACUCCUACGGGAGGCAGCAGUAGGGAAUCUUCGGCAAUGGACGGAAGUCUGACCGAGCAACGCCGCGUGAGUGAAGAAGGUUUUCGGAUCGUAAAGCUCUGUUGUAAGAGAAGAACGAGUGUGAGAGUGGAAAGUUCACACUGUGACGGUAUCUUACCAGAAAGGGACGGCUAACUACGUG